rnacentral:rRNA from 1 species
CUACCUUAAAGACUGAAUAAUGUUUGAAACGAGCACUAAUACGGAUGAUUCAUAUUUAGAUAACUAGAUAUGCUAAAAGAAGCGUUUGCUUCACUUUAAGAUGAGCUUGCGGCGUAUUAACUAGUUGGUGGGGUAAUGGCCUACCAAGGUGACGAUGCGUAGCCGAACUGAGAGGUUGAUCGGCCACAUUGGGACUGAGACACGGCCCAAACUCCUACGGGAGGCAGCAGUUAGGAAUAUUCGUCAAUGGGGGGAAACCCUGAACGAGCAAUGCCGCGUGAGUGAUGACGGUCUUUAUGAUUGUAAACUCUGUUGUAAGGAAUGAAACCUUAAGAUAGGAAAUGAUCUUAAGCUGACGGUACCUUACCAGAAAGCCCCGGCUAACUACGUG